GGGGAGGCAGCAGUGAGGAAUAUUGGUCAAUGGGCGGAAGCCUGAACCAGCCAAGUAGCGUGCAGGAUGACGGCCCUAUGGGUUGUAAACUGCUUUUAUACAGGAAUAAAGUUAGCCACGUGUGGUUAUUUGUAGGUACUGUAUGAAUAAGGACCGGCUAAUUCCGUGCCAGCAGCCGCGG
rnacentral:rRNA from 1 species